rnacentral:rRNA from 1 species
CCUACGGGAGGGCAGCAGUGAGGAAUAUUGGUCAAUGGGCGGGAGCCUGAACCAGCCAAGUCGCGUGAAGGAAGAAGUUACUUAGUAUUGUAAACUUCUUUUUUCGGGGAACAAAUGCGGAGACGCGUCUCCGGAUGAGUGUACCCGAAGAAAAAGCAUCGGCUAACUCCGUGCCAGCAGCCGCGGUAAUACGGAGGAUGCGAGCGUUAUCCGGAUUUAUGGGGUUGAAGGGGUGCGCAGGCGGGAGAUCAAGUCAGCGGUAAAAUGUCGGGGUUCAACCCGGGCCGGCCGUUGAAACUGGUUUGCUAGAGUGGGGGAGAGGUAGGCGGAAUUCGUGGUGUAGCGGUGAAAUGCAUAGAUAUCACGAAGAACUCCGAUUGCGAAGGCAGCAUACCGGGUCGAAACUGACGCUGAGGCACGAAAGCGUGGGGAUCGAACAGGAUUAGAUACCCCUGUAGUC